rnacentral:lncRNA from 1 species
UUUUUUUUUGUUUGGGCAAUGCUCUAAUAAUGAUGAUCAUCACACUUCUAUUGAUUACAACAUAAGGAUUACAACUCGAAACUUAGAACAAGAUAUGACUCUAUAUGAAUGCCUCCGGGGGUGUACCGGGAUGGUGCAAUGAAUCAAGAGUGACAUGUAUGAAAAAUAAUGUAUGGUGGCUUUGCCACAAAUACGAUGUCAACUACAUGAUCAUGCAAUGGCAAUUAUGACAAAAGUAAUGUAUGUCAUGAAUAUGAUGAUGGAAGUUGCAUGGCAAUAUAUCUCGGAAUGGCUAUGGAAAUGCCAUGAUAGGUAGGUAUGGUGGUUGUUUUGAGGAAGAUAUAAGGAGGUUUAUGUGUGAUAGAGCGUAUCAUAUCACGGGGUUUGGAUGCACCGGCGAAGUUUGCACCAACUCUCAAGGUGAGAAAGGGCAAUGCACGGUACCGAAGAGGCUAGCAAAGGUGGAAAGGUAAAAGUGCGUAUAAUCCAUGGACUCAACAUUAGUCAAAAGAACUCAUAUACUUAUUGCAAAAAUUUGAAGUCAUCAAAAAUCAAGUACUACACGCAUGCUCCUAGGGGAUAGAUUGGUCGGAAAAGACCAUCGCUCGUCCCUGACCGCCACUCAUAAGGAUGCACAAGCCAGGUACACUUCAUGUUUCAAAUUUGUUACACAACUUUAACCAUAUGUGCAUGCUACAGGACUUGCUAACUUCAACACAAGCAUUCUUUAUAUUCAUAAUCACCCAACUAGCACGACUUUGAUAUCACUACCUCCAUAUCUCAAAACAAUUAUCAAGCAUCAAACUUUUCUUAGUAUUCAACACACUCAUAAGAAUUCUUACAAAUCUUGAAUACCAAGCAUAUUAGGAUUUUAAGCAAAUUACCAUGCUAUUUAAGACUCUCAAAAUAAUAUAAGUGAAGCAUGAGAGAUAAAUAGUUUCUUUAAAACAAAUCCACCACCGUUCUCUAAAAGAUCUAAGUGAAGCACUAGAGCAAAAAUUAUCAAGCUCAAAAGAUAUAAGUGAAGCACAAUGAGUAGUCGAAUAAUUGUGCAACUAUGUGAAGACUCUCUAACAUUAAAGGAUUUCAGAUCUUGAUACUUUAUUCAAACAGCAAGCAAAGCUAAAGAAAACUACGUUGCAAGGAUAGCACAACUCAUGUGAAGAAGCAAAAACUUAGGCUCAACCGAUACUAAUCGAUAGUUGUUGAAGAAGAAAGGUGGGAUGGCUACCGGGGCAUCCCCAAGCUUAGAUGCUUGAGACUUCUUGAAAUAUUAUCUUGGGGUGCCUUGGGCAUCCCCAAGCUUGAACUUUUGUGUCUCCUUAAUUCCUCUCAUAUCAUGGAUUCUCUUUUUAUCAAAAGCUUCAUUCACAACAAACUCAACAAGAACUCGUGAGAUCGGUUAGUAUAAACCAAUGCAAAUACUUAUCAUUUUCUACUGUAACAAAUCACUAAAAUUAUUAUUCAAAAUUAUCUACCAAAUGCCUCUGCAUAUUUAAUACUCCUAUCCUCAAAUAGAAUCAUUAAUCAAGCAAACAUAUGCAAACAAUGCAACCAUAACAGCAAUCUGCCAAAACAGUAUAGUCUGUAAAGAGUGCAAGAGUAUCAAUACUUCCCUAACUCCAAAAAUUAUCAACUAAAAUUCCUACUGUAAUAAAUUUAUCAGAGCUCAUUAUGCAAAAGGAUUCAACAUUAUACCACUCUCUGACUUUUCUAGGGAAUUUUUGCAACAGUGGUAAACUUUCUGUUUUCAAACAGCAACAUGUAUACUAGCAAAAUAAGCAUGCCAAAGGCUAUCCUUGACUUCUUUAUUGAAACUAAAGAUGCAAAACAUUAUUAUAACUAACAGCAAGCAAAAACUAACAAAAUAAAAUGACGCUCCAAGCAAAACACAUAUCAUGUGGUGAAUAAAAAUAUAGCUCCAAGUAAAGUUACCGAUGAACGAAGACGAAAGAGGGGAUGCCAUUCGGGGCAUCCCCAAGCUUAGGCUCUUGGUUAUCCUUUGAAUAUUACCUUGGGGUGCCUUGGGCAUCCCCACGCUUAGGCUCUUGCCACUCCUUAUUUCAUAGUCCAUCGAAUCUUUACCCAAAACUUGAAAACUUCACAACACAAAACUCAACAGAAAACUCGUAAGCUCCGUUAGUAUAAGAAAAUAAAACCACCACUUAGGUACUGUAAUGAACUCAUUCUAAAUUCUUAUUGGUGUAAUAUCUACUGUACUCCAACUUAUCUAUGGUUCAUACCACUUAAUACUACCCAUAGAUGCAUCAAAAUAAGCAAACAACACAUAGAAAACAGAAUCUGUCAAAAACAGAACAGUCUGUAGUAAUCUGUAUCAAACGUAUACUUCUGGAACUCCAAAACUCCUACCAAAUUAGGAAGUCCUAAGCAAUUCGUGUACCAAUCCAGAGAAAAAGAAUCAGAUCAUAAGCACGUUUCUGUGAAUUAACAAAACUAAUUUACUGGGUGCAAAAGUUUCUGAUUUUCAGCAGGAUCAACACAACUAUCACCGUAAGCUAUCCUAAAGGUCUUACUUGGCACUUUAUUGAAACAAAAACUAUAAAACAUGAUUACUACAGUAUUAUAAUCAUGUGAGCACACAAAAACAGUAAGGAUAAGUAUUGGAUUGUCUCCCAACAAGAGCUUUUCUUUAAUGCCUUUCUAGCUAGGCAUGAUGAUGAUAAUGAUGCUCACAUAAAAGAUAAGAAUUGUAACAUAACGGGAGCAUCAUGAAGCAUAUGACUAGCACUUUUAAGUAUAACCCACUUUCUAUGCAUAGGGAUUUUGUGAGCAAACAACUUAUGGGAACGAUAAUCAACUAGCAUAGGAAGGUAAAACAAGCAUAACUUCAAAACUUGAAGCACAUAGAGAGGAAACUUGAUAUUAUUGCAAUUCCUACAAGCAUAUGUUCCUCCCUCAUAAUAAUUUGCAGUAGCAUCAUGAAUGAAUUCAACAAUAUAACCAGCACCUAAAGCAUUCUUUUCAUGAUCUACUAGCAUAGAAAAUUUACUACUCUCCACAUAAGCAAAAUUCUUCUCAUGAAUAGUAGUGGGCGCAAACUCAAUAAAAUAAUUAUCAUGUGAGGCAUAAUCCGAUUGAAAACUAAAAUCAUGAUGACAAAUUUCAUGAUUAUCAUUAUUCCUAAUAGCAUACAAGUCAUCACAAUAAUCAUCAUAAAUAGCAACUUUGUUCUCAUAAUCAAUUGGAACCUCUUCCGAAAUAGUGGAAUCAUCACUAAAUAAAGUUGACACUUCCAAAUCCACUUUCAUAUUCAUCACAAUAAGAUUCAACAUCCUCCAAAAUAAUGGGAUCAUUACUUCCUAAAGUUGACACUCUUCCAAACCCACUUUCAUCAAUAUAACCAUCACAAAUAGGAGGCAUGCUAUCAUCAUAACAACUUUGCAUAUCAAAACUUCGGAUGCUAAAAAUAUCAUCUUCAUUAAACAUAGCAUCCCCAAGCUUUGGGACAAAUAUUAAUUCCAGCAAAUAUAUUCUCAAAUAUUUCAUCCUCAUCAAACAUAGCUUCCCCAAGCUUGGGCCCUUUCAUAUCAUAAGCAUAAUCACUCUCAUCAUUAAAAAUAUUGAUAGCACCAAUAGUAUAGCAAUUAUCAUCACAAUGAGUAAUAGGAGCAACAUCAUUUGGGAGGGAUACCUUUCUACCUUUGUUGCUCCUUCUUUUCUUUUUCUUCUUCACAUUAUGUGUGGGUUCAACCUUCCUCUUUGAGCUCCUUAUUGAUGAGAUUGGUUGGAUAGAAGACUCCUCCUCUUUACCUGAUUCAUCAUAAGAAAUAAUAGGAGGAUAUUGGGAAGUCUCUUCCCUUUCGUUAGCAUUCUCUUCAUCUUCUAUUUGUUUUCUUUUCUUUAUGUAACUGGCAAUAUAAGUAUUUUCAAUGCAAUUCACCGCAUAAUACAUAUAAAUCUUCUCUAGAUCAAAAUCAAGAAAUCUAUCAAGAUUAAAUUUUAGAAUACCCUCAGUUAUACGUUUCAUUUCUUCAUAACCCAAAAGAAGGCUAAGCUCUUUAUGAUGCUCAAGGGUAAUCAAAUUAUCACAAUAUUUGGAAACGACUUGAUCAUGAAACAAAUAGCAUUGGAACUUUAAAUGACCAUGUUCAUUGCAAAGUUCACAGGGGGCGCGAAACAUAUUGAAUCUUUCAGCACAUUCAUCUAGCUCUUCUGUUGACACCAGAUUUUGGCACGGUCAAUAACUUAUUUAAGAUGGCCUCAAAUGAAGAAGUGAUCUUCAUGAAAGAGUUCUGUAUUGUCGAUAUGAACAUCUUUGAAGUUUGGGUCAUCGCAGUCCGAUUUCAUCUCGAAGGCCGAAACUAUGCUCAAACUACUAAGAUCUUAUAUUCAGAGUACAGUUUGGCUGAUUAAGCACCCAAGACGACCUCAAAUAGGAAACUUAUAUACACUAUUUGUCUUUGUCUCAUCGAAACGAUUGAUUUUGACAUAAAAAUCAUUCCAAUCCGAGUUCGUAUGCAAAAGUUACAGCCAUCGGAAUACAGCCCUGUCAUGAGGCAAAAACUGGCGCGCCCCACCAGACACCCUGUCUGAUGGGUAGCGCGAGGGAUAGCCUGUUUUGCGCGACCGAUUUGACCCUCGAGAUGACCUCUGAUCAAAAAACGUUCAACAUAAACGUUGUUUGCCUCGUCGAAACGGUCAAGAUUGCUUUUGGGCUCGUUUCCAUCCAAGAUCGUUUACCACCACAAAAAAGACCCAUAAGGUGCAGCCAGUUUAAACCGAAUAGUUUUGGAAAGUUCGGACAAAACCAAUCCGAAUUUGACUAGGGUUUUGGACGUGAAUCCAAGCCUUUUCCUUGCACGGGAAGUCCAGCCGCCUCUUAUAUACCUAAGGGGUGAUGGCCGAUUGAACAACACACAAUCGAUCAAUCAAUCUAUCACUUUUUAUCUUUUAUCUUUUCUCCUUAACCCUAGUUCUUCUUCUUCCUCGUUCUUCGUUCGUUCUUCUUCAUCGCAGGGUGGCGAACCUUGAGGCCCUAGGGGCGAUCAGGUCGACCUAGGUCAGCGCAUAGCCGCCGCGCGCCCAGACGGGGUCCCUCCCGGGCGUGUGGGGUUUCGGGUCCCAAAAGCGUCGGCUUGCUGUCUUGCGUAUCGCGCUGGAAGUCGGCCUCCCGCGGUGUGAGUUGCGGAGCAUCUCCCUCGGCGCCGCGGGUACACAUCGACGUGUUCGUGUGACGCGUUCCAGCGUCAACACACUUUUUGGCGACUCCGCUGGGGACGAAGCUUUGAACGGUCUCCGGCCCGUUCUUGCUACGAAGAGAUCGUCAUCUAGGGUUUGCAAUCUACAAAGGUAAUAUGAAUACCCAAUUCACAUAUGUAGAUGCAAAUAAUGCAUAUGUUGUUGCUAGAUCAUCUAAUGAGCAUAAUGUAUCGGCUAGCCCUAGCUUUAUCAAUCAUGCAUCUAAUUAUGUGCAAGGGCCGAUGCAACAAAAUCUUCAUGCUUCAACUUUAUAUAAUUUUAGCAACAUGCAACAUAUGUAUCCCAACUCCCAUGCAUCGGCAAUCCCACAAAUCUAUAUGCCGAUGAACAACAUGAUGAGUUCGGUUAAUCAUGUUGAGACACCCCAUGAAGGAACUUCCAAUAGUAUGCAACAAAGUGUUUCAACUUUUUAUUCAUCGGCAAAUAACUUGCAGUAUGUUAAUCCAAACAUGCCGGUGGAUAGGGGAAUUGGCCAUGCCACUACUAGUUAUUCGGCCAAUUACCCUCAAACAUCGUAUGCUACACCUCAUGCUACGAAUUUUUCGGCACCAUACGCAAUUGUAGAUAUUCGUGAUUCGGCUCCGCACCUUCAUGCUCAUGGCCGAAUAAGUGAGAAUUCUACCAGAGCGCAUGUGUCUUUACCUAGUAACGUAGCAUAUCAUGUUGCCCCUGCACAAUUACAGAAUUUCGGCAACACACCAUUGCCAAAAGCGUCUCAAAGUAUUGGGGGGCAAUCCGAUGAAGAUUGGGCUGAAAUUGGUCGAAAAAAGCUUAAAGAUAGACUAGCUGCAAUGUUUGCUGAAUUUAGACAAGAACAAGCAACCUUGCGAAUCAAAGAAAGAAAGAGUGGUGAUUCGGAUAACAAAGUUAAUUCGGUUAUUAAAAAAGCAGAAUCAAAUAGUAUGUGUACCGAAUCUAUCAAAGAAAAAGAGGAUGCCAAGGCAUUGGAGAGUCAUUCAAAAGUGGAACAAAGUAUUAUUCAAGUGAUACAACCAUCAUGCUCUCCCAACGUAAUUGAAGAGGUAUGUCUAGCACUUGCCUAUCUUCCGAUUUGGUCGCAACUUUAUUGUCGAUGCUUCUAUAAGAAAAAUCCUCAUAAGUAAUUUUGAAAGACCAAUGAAGAAGAGUAUUUUACUUGUUAGCAACAAAAUUGUUAUAGACUAUAUCGGUCAACCCAUUGCACCAUUUAUAAAGACCGAUAAUGACUUAUUGUUGUGGCCAAAGCUUUCCCCGUUGCUUUAUCUAAAAUUCAUAUCUAAUUGGGUAGCUUUGCUUAUUUCUUACUUGGCUUACACUUGGUCUCAAUUGAGACAUGUAUGUUCUAACUAUUUUCGUUUUAGAAAUUUAAAGCCAAGGUUAAAAUCUUCUGAGCAAACCGAUGCAAGUAUAGUUUCUUAUCCAAUGACAUCGGUAAGAGAAUGCAAAAUAAAAUUCAUAGCCGAAUGGGGAGAUACAAAAUCUGAAUCAUUCGUUUGCUUAACUCCAAAGCCGUUCUCACACCAAGAUCGGCUAGAAAACAAGAAGUUUACCUUCAAUUCAAGCAUGUGUGACCAAAUAUUUGAUUUAUUGCUCAAAAAUAAUUACAUAAGAAUUCUUGAUCACCAUGUUGAGCCAUCUAUCCAAGGACGACUGUAUUGUAAGUUGCAUGAUUCGUUCAAGCAUAAUUUUGAGGAUUGCAACAUAUUCCGUCAAAUAGUUAAAUCGGCCAUUGAAAAAGGACGAUUGAAGUUUGUUAAAACACCAAGAGAUGACCAGUCUAUUCCGAUUGGUCCCGAUGGCAAAAAAAUUUUGCAUCGGCUGCUUCAAGCCGAUACAUUUAAAGAGAAGGUAAAAACUACAGGUGAUGGGAUCAAGCUUUCAAGUAAAGAAGUUGUUGAAGAGCAUAAUGACCAUAAUCUUGAGGGUGGGAAUUCCAUCGAAGCUACAAUGGAGAUACCAAGUACUGGGGGGCAGCAAGCAAAUCCAAAGAUCGGUGCAAGCACAACCAAAGAAAAUAAAGGCCGGUGUAAGCACAAAGGUAAAACGCCAAAAGUCACUUUCGCACAACUAUUGGAAAAAUAUCAAAAGAAGAGUGAAGAGAAGAAUGCUUAUCGGCCAAAUCAUGCAAAGAAACCAAGAUCACCCCCAAGGCGCAAAUAUGAGGAUUGGUAUUGGCAAAGUGAUAAUUUUAAUGCAACAUAUUCAUAUCCUUAUUUUGGGCCGCCAAUGCCAAUGCCGUGGAUGCCUCCCUAUGCUCAUAUAGAUACAUAUUCAUCAUGGGACAGGUAUGAUAAAAGGGCACAUUCUCCAUCUUAUUCUAGACCAUCUCACCAAUACUAUGCAGCUCCAAGGAGAUCAACAUUUGAACAAUCACGCGUCAAAGACCGUUUCAAUCAUAAAGAAUCGGUCUGGUGCACAAGGAAGAAUAAGGAGGUGGUUGAGCAAAUCUACCGCGUCAAAAGAGAUGGUCGUAAGAGUGCCACUUCAGAUAUGAUCUCAAAUGAAAAAGAGCCAAUUAAAGUGUUGACAUUGGCUACAAAAGGCAAUGAGGCAAGUCAAUCAAGUGCCAAAUCUGAAGGGAAGAAGUUGAGAGUGCACAAGGUAAAACCAGAAUUGCCAUUACUUCAAACAAAAUCGCAGCUGGGAUGCCCACGGGCUUAUCGUAUUGGGAAAAGAAGGAGUUGCAGAAGCUCAGUGCACAAGAACUUGAAAAGAGAAAUAUGGCAUGGGUUCCCAAAAGAAAUAUUCAAAAUAAGAAUUAUGUGCGAGCUUCCUUUACAAGGAGUGCGACAAAGGUGAAGAAGGAAAAGAGUGAAAGCUACGAAGGACCAAGCCGAAGGUUCCAACAUCUUCGGUCCACACAUUAUCCAUUUUCUUCAACAAUGUCGUUGAUGCCUAUGCCAUGGAAUUCUUCAUCAGGUAUGAUUGGUUACCCUCAAUGGGCUUAUUUUAAUCCAUGGAUAAAAUAUAAUUUCUUACAUCAUGAAAGGGUAUUACCAAAUCAUUAUAUGUUCGAUUAGCUUCACUUUUGUUGCUAAUCUAAAUGGCCGAUAUAUACUUAUCGUCCAAAGCACGUACAAAAUGGCCGAUGGAGUGUUGACAUCGCUCUUAGAACAAACUUCGUGCAAGUUAUUUUUUGGCACACAAGUUUUGCCGAAAAACAGGGGGGCAUGUGUUGACACCAGAUUUUGGCACGGUCAAUAACUUAUUUAAGAUGGCCUCAAAUGGAGAAGUGAUCUUCAUGAAAGAGUUCUGUAUUGUCGAUAUGAACAUCUUUGAAGUUUGGGUCAUUGCAGUCCGAUUUCAUCUCGAAGGCCGAAACUAUGCUCAAAGUACUAAGAUCUUAUAUUCAAAGUACAGUUUGGCUGAUUAAGCCCCAAGACGACCUCAAAUGGGAAACUUCUCUACACGGAUUGUCUUCGUCUCGUCGAAAUGAUCGAUUUUGAUAUAAAAACCGUUCCAAUCCGAGUUCGUAUGCAAAAGUUAGAGCCAUCGGAAUACAGCCCUGUCACGAAGCAAAAACUGGCGCGCCCCACCAGACACCCUGUCUGAUGGGUAGCGCGAGGGAUAGCCUAUUUUGCGCGACCGAUUUGACCCUCUAGAUGACCUCUGAUCAAAAAACAUUCAACAUAAAAGUUGUUCGUCUCGUCGAAAUGGUCAAGAUUUCUUUUGGGCUCGUUUCCAUCCGAGAUUGUUUACCACCACAAAAAAGACCCGCAAGGUGCAGCCAGUUUAAACCGAACAGUUUUGAAAAGUUCGGACAAAACCAAUCCGAAUUUGACUAGGGUUUUGGACGUGAAUCCAAGCCUUUUCCUUGCACGGGAAGUCCAGCCGCCUCUUAUAUACCUAAGGGGUGACGGCCGAUUGAACAACACACAAUCGAUCAAUCAAUCUACCACUUUUUAUCUUUUAUAUUUUCUACUUAACCCUAGUUCUUCUUCUUCCUCGUUCUUCGUUCGCUCCUCUUCAUUGCAGGGCGGCGAACCUCGAGGCCCUAGGGGCGAUCAGGUCGACUAGGGCAGCCCAUAGCCGCCGCGCGCCCAGACGGGGUCCCUCCCGGGCGUGUGGGGUUUCGGGUCCCAAAAGCGCCGGCUUGCUGUCUUGCGUAUCGCGCUGGAAUUCGGCCUCCCGCGGUGUGAGUUGCGGAGCAUCUCCCUCGGCGCCGCGGGUACACAUUGACGUGUUCGUGUGACGCGUUCCAGCGUCAACAUCUUCUUGCAACGGUUUGGUUUCUAAGUACUUAUGCCUCUUGCAAUAAAUAUCUUCUAUAUUUGGUGUGUUCAUGCAAACAUGCACUCCACAAAAGUUGACAUGCUCAUAAGAGAUAUUUUUAUCAUAACUAGUGCAAUCAUCAUUAGCAUCAUGGAUAUUCAAAGAAUUCGUACUAACAACAUUGCAAUCAUGCUCAUCAUUCAAAGAUUUAGUGCCAAACAAUUUAAUGCAUUCUUCUUUUAACACUUUGGCACAAUUUUCUUUUCCAUCAUACUCACGAAAGAUAUUAAAAAGAUGAAGCAUAUGAGGCAAACUCAAUUCCAUUUUUUUGUAAUUUUCUUUUAUAGACUAACUAGUGCUAAAACAAGAAACAAAAAGAUUCGAUUGCAAGAUCUAAAGAUAUACCUUCAAGCACUCACCUCCCCGGUAACGGCGCCAGAAAAGAGCUUGAUGUCUACUACACAACCUUCUUCUUGUAGACGUUGUUGGGCCUGCAAGUGCACAGGUUUGUAGGACAGUAGUAAAUUUCCCUCAAGUGGAUGACCUAAGGUUUAUCAAUCCGUAGGAGGCGUAGGAUGAAGAUGGUCUCUCUCAAGCAACCCUGCAACCAAAUAACAAAGAGUCUCUUGUGUCCCAAACACACCCAAUACAAUGGUAAAUUGUAUAGGUGCACUAGUUCGGCGAAGAGAUGGUGAUACAAGUGCAAUAUGGAUGGUAGAUAAAGGUAUUUGUAAUCUGAAAUUAUAAAAACAAUAAGGUAACUAAUGAUAAAAUUGAGCGUAAACGGUAUUGCAAUGAUAGGAAACAAGGCCUAGGGUUCAUACUUUCACUAGUGCAAGCUCUCUCAACAAUAAUGACAUAGAUAGAUAAUAUAACAAGCCCUCAACAUGCAACAAAGAGUCACUCCAAAGCCACUAAUAGCGGAGAACAAACGUAAAGAUUAUGGUAGGGUACGAAACCACCUCAAAGUUAUUCUUUCGGAUCAAUCUAUAAAAGAGUCUGUACUAGAAUAACACCAUAAGACACAAAUCAACCAAAACCCUAAUGUCACCUAGAUACUCCAUUGUCACCUCAAGUAUCCGUGGGCAUGAUUGUACGAUAUGCAUCACACAAUCUCAGAUUCAUCCAACCAACACAAAGUACUUCAAAGAGUGCCCCAAAGUUUCUAUCGGAGAGUCAAGAAUGUGUGCCAACCCCUAUGCAUAGGUUCCCAAUGUCACGAAACCCGCAAGUUGAUCACCAAAACAUACAUCAAGUGCCACAUGAUAUCCCAUUGUCACCACAGAUAAUCACGGCAAGACAUACAUUAAGUGUUCUCAUAAAAGACUCAAUCCGAUAAGAUAACUUCAAAGGGGAAACUCAAUUCAUCACAAGAGAGUAGAGGGGGAGAAACAUCAUAAGAUCCAACUACAAUAGCAAAGCUCGGGAUACAUCAAGAUCGUGCCAUCGAGGGAACACGAGAGAGAACACGAGAGAGAGAGAGAGAGAGAGAGAGAGAGAGAGAGAGAGAGAGAUCAAACACAUAGCUACUGGUACAUACCCUCAGCCCCGAGGGUGAACUACUCCCUCCUCGUCAUGGAUAGCGCCGGGAUGAUGAAGAUGGCCACCGGUGAUGGGAUCCCCCUCCGGCAGGGUGCCGGAACGGGCUCCCGAGAGGUUUUUGGUGGCUACAGAGGCUUGCGGCGGCGGAACUCCCGAUCUAUCUUCUGUUCUGGAAGUUUUAGGGUACGUAGGUAUAUAUGGGUNNNNNNNNNNNNNNNNNNNNNNNNNNNNNNNNNNNNNNNNNNNNNNNNNNNNNNNNNNNNNNNNNNNNNNNNNNNNNNNNNNNNNNNNNNNNNNNNNNNNNNNNNNNNNNNNNNNNNNNNNNNNNNNNNNNNNNNNNNNNNNNNNNNNNNNNNNNNNNNNNNNNNNNNNNNNNNNNNNNNNNNNNNNNNNNNNNNNNNNNNNNNNNNNNNNNNNNNNNNNNNNNNNNNNNNNNNNNNNNNNNNNNNNNNNNNNNNNNNNNNNNNNNNNNNNNNNNNNNNNNNNNNNNNNNNNNNNNNNNNNNNNNNNNNNNNNUUCUUCCCUGACGUGCACUCCAAGUCCAUCGGGUGGCCUUCCUUCCAAAAAUAACUUCUCCAGUUGAUUUCGUUCCGUUUUGACUCCGUCUGAUAUUCCUUUUCCUCGAAACACUGAAAUAGGCAUAAAACAGCAAAUCCGGGCUGGGCCUCCGGUUAAUAGGUUAGUCCCAAAAAUAAUAUAAAAGUGGAUAAUAAAGCCCAAUAUUGCCUAAAAUAGUAGAUAAAGUAGCAUGGAGCAAUCAAAAAUUAUAGAUACGUUGGAGAAGUAUCAGUACGCGGCGACGGGUUGGAGGCUCCUAGUCGCUUUGGGGGGGACUCCUCAAAACUGUUUGGGGUUGAAAUCUUUAUACACACAUGUGCACUAUUCAAAACUCCGAACAAAAAACAUUCGGAAGCAUGGAGCUAUAUAAUUUGUUCUGCAAAUAGUGGCUCGGUGGCUCCGGGUGGAAUUCGUUUGGCAAUUCUGAAGGAUGAAAUUUGGUUCAGUUUGUGCACUUUGGAAGGACCAAGUGAACAACAUUUGGUGGCUCUAAAGAACAACAAAGGUUUUUAAUGACAGUCACAAUAUGGGUCGGAAGCUCCAAACGCUCCUCAUUCGGAGGGACCGACUGAGACUUGUUCAUUUUUUUUCUUGUGAUUUAGCAAGAAUUAGAAUUGAAACAAGAAUUAAGAUAGAUAGCUAGGGAGGACUCCUAGGCAUUCUUGUUGCAUCCGAUGGGCCAAAAGUCCAAAUCAAUCAAAGCUUCCAUAUGGAUGAACUUGAAUGGAAAUCAUGCAAAGCACAUGCUUCUGGUCCUAUAAGAUAUGUGAAGGACAAAACUAGGACAUGCAAAACCAAUCUAGCAUCUAUCAAAAAAAAUGAUCGAUGACUUAACCAUAUAUGAGCAUAUUGACCUAGUACCGUUUGGUCUAGUAAAGACACUGGAUCCUAUGAGCCAAAGUCAUUGUUUAAGCUCUAAAAGGGGUUGCCUUUUUCGAUAUAAGCAUCAGUGUUUUCAAAAUUACAGUUACAUGAGCUCAAUACAUUGAGUAAAGCUCCCCUCAAAUAUGAUAUCUCUUCUCAAUAGGAUGCACCUACAUCGGAUUUGUUGUAGACGAAUUUGGGUAGUCAAACUUGUUGUGGUUUCACAACAUUGAUGAUGACUUGUGGUUAUCAUCAAGAGUUAGGAACAACCUUUUAUUCAUUUGUUGCACUUUCAAUACCUACACAGGUUAGUAACACAAGGGACAACAAGGAUAUCCAAUAGACAGAGAGUGAAAAUCACAAUAAAUGAUGUGUAUAGAUGUGUCAGGUUACCCUGGCCCUAUGUCUUACCAACCCAAAGAGUAUUCUUUACUCCUUAGAUUAGUGAUAGACAUGGAAGUGAUGUUGCACUAACUCAUUCGAAGAAAAUAUGUAAUCUUUAAACUCAUUAUUGGAGUCGCCCUCAAGAACUCUCCUAGUUCUUCCUUUUGGCGAUCGACAUCGUCUUAACAGGGAUCUCAUGACUUGAUGUUGAUCUUGAAGAAGUGGAACUUGAAGUAUAUUCGGUAACCCACUUGAACUUGUCUCUAGUAGGACCACUAUAUGUAGCAGUAUCUUGCUCAUUUUGUAUUGGGGGUCACCUAUCCUUUUGCUUGAAUCCUUGUGGAGCAUGAUCAUUCUUCCCUUGUGUUCCCUUGUAAGGGAGUGGAUCACACUUCUCCUUUUGAGGAACAAACUUUGUCCUGGGGUAUUGAUUAUCUUCCCAUUCUACUCCAUUGGCAUUGAACUUACAUCAAAACCAACACUUUGAUUACUAUGAUAUCAUCCUUGCUUACUCACAAUCUCAUCAAAUUGCUUACUUCUGGCAAGACUUUUGUGGAUACCUUUCUCACCAGUUCCUUUCAAUAAUGCAUUUUAUUGCUCAAGUGUAACUUGGCUAAGAGAAGAGUUAGUUGAACCACUAGAGCUACUUCAAAGAAGUGAUGUCUUUUGAUGUAUCUUUAGGAGCACUAGAAAUUGAUGGGGUGGAUACAAUUUUACGUUUGUGAGAUGAUUGUUGUGGCUUCACUUGUGAUGUGAAAGUAGACAAUAGUUAUUUGAUAAUAUUAGAGGUACUCUCUUUUGAAGAUCAUCAUUGGUAGCUUUUAACCACUCGUGCUCUUGCAUCAAGUUAAGCAUUUCGAAACAUAGACUCUCAUGAGUUUUCAAAAGUUCUUUAUGAUCUUCUAGAUGAAUUUGAUGUCUUAACUUGAGAUCGUCUAGCUCUUUAGUUAAGCAUUCAUUCUCACUAUUCGCAUUGACAACCAAAUUUUCUUGUUUGCCACACAUAUUAGCAAGGGUGUCCUAGCUCAUAUUGCAAUCAUAAUCAAGUAAAUAAUCUUCUCCACUAUUGAAAUCCACAAACUAGGGAUGUAUUACCUUAGGACCAUUAGCCAUGAAGCAUCUUGAAGAUCCACCAAUUCCUUCAUUUGGAGAAUCUAAUAAGCAAAUGGGCUUGGAGCAAUACCUACAACACCAUCAUCUUCACUAUAUUCGGAGUUGGGGUGAUAAAAACUAGCUUUGGAGUUUUUGUAGGAUUCAGAUACCCAUUCUCUAAUGUUUGUUGAUGAUCUUCUCUUGGAGUAUUCUUAUGGUAAAAAUUGUUGUAAGGCACAAAUUAUUUCUUAGGAAUUGGAAGGCACAAAUUGUUGUAAGACAUGGCUCUACAUAUUUAGUUAGAAAAUAUGCAUUAGUAGGUCUGAAAGAUGUAGCUUGGUUUUUAAUUCCAACCGUGAAGGCAUUAACAAAGCACCUGAUAAACCAUAACCCGCAAAUCUAGGGAUUUUCCUCUUAUACAUCAGCCAUUAAGUCCUCAAAUAACUUAGUAUAUUCAGUAACAAUUGAAUUUUUUCUUCAUUGCAUUGAAAUUGUCUGUCAAAUCAUAAGAUCCUUGCUUUGGAAAUCUCUUGAUAUGUUCAAUGCAAAUUCUUUCGAAGUAAAGUGUUUCUUAAGUAACCCAGAUCUCCUUAAGCAAGCAAGCUUCACCUAUAGUAUACAAUUGAGUUAUACUCCCUCCGUUCCUUGAUAUAAGGUGUAUAGAUUUUUGAGCAAAAAUCCGAAAUAUAAGGUGCAUUGCGUUGCACCACUCGUUUGGAUAAUUUUCUUUAGGAAUUUGAUUACAUUUCCUUAUAUCAGGCAAGCUCCUCUAUUUACUCAUGUCAAUUAGUCAGGUGUAAUCUCGCCCAUAACUUGUGAAAUUUUCCCUCCAUGUGUGUUCUUUAAUUUUCGUGCCAAAAACUAUACACCCUAUAUUUAGGAAUGGAGGGAGUAUAUUCAUCUAGAUUUGCACAGCUGAAAAUAUGUAUUACACUACAUUAUCCGUUCUACUACAUCAAUGCCCUCAAACUUGGGGAAAUCAAUCUUUGGUCCCUUAGUCAGGGAUUUCAUGAACCGUGCAUGCGUUCUAUAAUACCCUUGCCAUAAUUGUCUCUCCUGUUCUGAUGAAACUAUUGAAAUGCUGGAGUAUGGACUCUUUCAUGAUCUGCUACAGGUGUGCCCACAACACAUGUGCUUUCAUAAGCAUGAUGUUGUUGAAAACUAGGUGUUGUCAUCGGUACGAAUGGAUGGUAAAUUAUGUAACUGUAGGUCUUCUAUUUGUUUGGUCCUUUCCUUAUCCUUUUCCAAGUCAAUUGUUCAUUUCUAGCAAUUUGCUCUAUACUUGUUCUGGUUGUAGAGGAAAUUUGACAGUGUGGCCAGUUCUCUCUUCUGACUUGUUUCUACUUGUUUGCACUUGUUUGUGGGACAAUCGAUUACAACAUUGUACUCAUAGCUGACAGUUGUUUGCCCAAUUAUACUACUGCUUGUUCCACUCCUUCAACUUGCAGAGAAAUCUCACAUUACUUGGAUCCAAUAGACUGAACAUCCUCUUGUGAUUUGGAGACGUCUUUCUGUAGGGUUGCGUUGUCCUUUAAAAAACCAUUAAUUCUUCUUUCAUAGACAAAACUUCCUGCAAAUCUGCCUCAUUGAUGUUCUUGUUGCUCCUCCCCAUCUCCUUGAUCUAAAAAAUAGGUGAGGAAUUUUACCACUAAACAAGCCAACAACCUGUCCCAUGUUAGGAUCCUACCGCCGCCAACGAUUCUCAUCUCCAUGCUGCAUGUAUCAGAGCUAGACAUGGAAUUUUAUCGAACGAGAGAUGUUCUUGAACAACCACUCCAGUCAACUGAUCUACACCGGAACAACCACCGCCACUCGCGCCACAAACACCGCCGCCCGUGCUGCCAGAAUCACUCAAAACCGCCACUGCAAGAGGGUGGUAUUUGAUCAAUCUGACGAAAAAAAUCACCAAUAGAAAACGCCACCAAGGAACUUGAGCUCGAAUACCAAUUUGUUUAGGACCCGGAUUGGAUCAAGGGGAAUUUGGGACAGUAAAUAUGGUAAUAAAGGGAACAAGGUAGGGUUUUAAGUUCAAACCAAGGAGGCCAUUUCUACAUUACUGUAGCUACAAGGUAUCGAGUCCAUCCAUUAGGAAAUAGACAAUUCAACGUACUCCACACCAGCCACAACCUGGCUUAUAAGGCUGGACCAAAAGCUUGUAGCUCGUGAGCUUAAUGGGCGCUCGAUAGCUUGGUUUGUUAAGCUUGUAGUUCGCUUCUUAAUGAACAUAACAAGUCGCUGAUUUCAGCUUGUUAAGCUUAAUGAGUUUUAACAAACGAGCUAACGAGUGUCACAAGCAGCUCAUUAAACUCGUUAGUACAACACAAGAUAUAUGUUUAUCUUAUGUGGCAACAUCAUUGUAGCACCUCCCCCGUCUGCCCAACCUAGCCCAUAGGAGGCAACUAGUGCACCUUCUACUAUAGUCAUCAUUUUCGUUCGUAAAAACCACAUCUACACUCACAUCCCAUAGACCGUGACACGUCGUAGUUUAUUAACGAGCUCUUGUGGGUGCUCAUGGGCUUAAUGAGUUCUAGAUGAACAGAGUCGAGCAGAUUUUCUGCAUGUUAAGCUUAAUGAGCUGAGGCUUAAUGAGCACAAGCUUUAAUGAGCUGAGGCUUAAUGAGCACAAGCCUUAAUGAGCUGAGUAGCUUGUUAAACCACCUGCUUAUAUAGGCGGUUCAUUACCCACUACAGCGGUUAAGGUACCUGUUCCCUUUCAAAAUAUAAGGUGUAUCGAUUUUUGUGCAAGUCAAACUUGUGUAUGUUUGAUCAGAAUUAUAAAAUAAAAUAUUGACAUCUAUAAUACAAAAUAAAUAAAAUAUAAAAAUACUUUCUGUGAUGAAUCUAACGCUACAAAUUUGUUACUUUAAUUUUCUUUUUAAACUUGGUCUAACAUGAAUAUAUUUGAUUUUUGAAAAACUAUACACCUUAUAUUUUGAAACGGAAGGAGUAAAUAACAAGAAUAACCACUCUAUAAUAGUUAAAAGGGAUCUGACGGCUCAGCGACGAGGUCAGGAGAGGAGCCAUGUGAGCCGUAGGAUCCAAUCAAAGCGGUAUUGCGAGGAAUGCUACACAUAACUGAAGAAUUCGACAGCUUCAGGUUCAGGUUGUGACACCAGCAUAAUAAUCCUCCUCCUUCCCGCCAUUCACUCCCAACCAUCCAAGCUCAAAACCAUUUUUUGUGUGGCAAAGAUAACGAAACCCAUCUCCGAACUUUGGUUUGUGCAUGUGUGCGCGUGCGUACUCUUCAUGCAUGUCUGUGCCUGCCUCUCCUCCCUCGGAGCGGCCAGCGCGCAUUCCCCGCAGCCAUGGGCCAAUGCUGCACAAACGGAGCCGGGCAGGCUGCCGCUGCCGACGCGGCGGCCGAGGCAGAGCCGCCGGCGCCCCCAAAGACGCCGCGCGGGGACAACGCACCGACCAACGAUGGCCCGGCUCCUGCCGCCGCCGAGGCCGAGCCCGCCUCUCCGGCAACCAAGGCGGACCCCAAUGCCAAGCCGCCGGCCCCCGUGGGCGAGGUUCUCGGGCGACCCAUGGAGGACGUGCGCGCGACGUACACCAUCGGCGAUGAGCUCGGGCGUGGCCAGUUCGGCGUGACCUACCUGUGCACCCACACGGAGACGGGGGAGAAGCUCGCGUGCAAGACGAUCGCGAAGCGGAAGCUGUCGGGCGCGGAGGACGUGGAGGACGUCCGCCGCGAGGUGGAGAUCAUGUGCCACCUCUCCGGCCAGCCCAACAUCGUGGACCUCCGCGGCGCCUACGAGGACAAGCACAACGUGCACCUGGUGAUGGAGCUGUGCGCCGGCGGGGAGCUCUUCGACCGGAUCAUCGCCAAGGGGCACUACACGGAGCGCGCCGCCGCCUCGCUGCUCCGGUCCGUGGUCGGGACCGUGCACACCUUCCACUCCAUGGGGGUGAUGCACCGGGACCUGAAGCCGGAGAACUUCCUGAUGCUCAACAGGGACGAGUCGUCGCCCAUCAAGGCCACCGACUUCGGCCUCUCCGUCUUCUUCAAGGAAGGCGAGGUGUUCAAGGACAUCGUCGGCAGCGCCUACUACAUCGCCCCGGAGGUGCUCAAGCGCAAGUACGGGCACGAGGCUGACGUCUGGAGCAUGGGCGUCAUGCUCUACAUCUUCCUCUCCGGCGUCCCACCCUUCUGGGCGGAGACUGAGAACGCCAUCUUCACCGCCAUUCUGCGCGGGGAAGUCGACUUCGUCAGCGAUCCGUGGCCCAACAUCUCCCCCGGGGCCAAGGAUCUUGUCAGGAAGAUGCUCCAAAUCAACCCCAAGGAUAGGCUUACGGCCAUCCAAGUCCUCAGUAAGCCACUUGUGCAUGUUCUUUUUUCCUCCUGUCAGAUGCUAGCUUCGUGCACGCUUGUCGUACUACAUGACGAAGGCAAUCGAUGCCCUGAAAAAUAACUUGAGCUUUUUCAGACCACCCAUGGAUCAAGGAAGACGGAGACGCCCCCGACACGCCGCUCGACAACGUCGUUCUAGACAGGAUGAAGCAGUUCGUGGCCAUGAACCAGUUCAAGAAAGCCGCACUGAGAGUAGGCACAUGGACUGACAUUAACAACGCUUCUUCAGGUAACUAACUAAUCUUUGAUACUUUGCGGUGAACUUUGUGUAGGUCAUUGCCGGGUGCCUGUCAGAGGAGGAGAUCAAGGGGCUCAAGGAGAUGUUCAAGAGCAUCGACAAGGACAACAGCGGCACCAUCACCCUCGAAGAGCUCAAGAACGGGCUGGCCAAGCAGGGCAACAAGUUUUCGGACAAUGAAAUUCAGCAACUGAUGGAAGCAGUGAGUCUUAAUUCAGAUGACACAAUCAACGACGUGGUGUUACAUAUACGUAUUGACAUGAACAGAAAUAAUUUUCUGCUUCGAUUUCCAGGCCGAUGCCGACGGCAAUGGAUUGAUCGACUACGAGGAGUUCGUCACCGCGACGGUGCACAUGAACAGAAUGGACAGGGAAGAGCACCUCUACACCGCGUUCCAAUACUUCGACAAGGACAACAGUGGGUAAGUUUAAGCACCAACAAACUGAUAAUUAGCCCGCAAAAAGAGAAACUGAUAAUUAACACAACCUCGUUCCAAAAUGUAAAACGUUUUGGCUGUUCAAUUUAAACUGCCAAAAUAUUUUACAUUUAGAUUAGAAACAGAGGUAGUAUUUUCUGGAAAAAGAAAAGAAACAGAGAUAGUACAUCUCAGGCUCCUGGAUUCAAGAUUUUUGGAGGCUCAUAUACCUCUUGCAGGUACAUCACAAAAGAAGAGCUGGAGCAAGCCUUACAAGAGCAGAAGUUGUUCGACGCCGAGGAAUUCAAGGAUGUCAUUGCUGAAGCUGAUUCCGACAACGUAAGAAAGAAAAAUGCAUUCAAAACAAUAGUAGAUGGUAAAUGCAUCGAAAGGAACUGAAACUGUUUUCUUGACGACGUAUGCAGGAUGGGAGGAUAGACUAUUCGGAGUUCGUGGCGAUGAUGAGGAAAGGAACGGGCGGUGCGGAGCCAUCGAACCCGAAGAAGAGGCGAGACCUAGUCCUAUAGUGAAGCGUUGCUACGGUGUGUAUGUCAACAGAGUGCAGAGCUGUAACUGUAAUGUGCAUGCUGCUUUCUUUUGGGAACAAAUCCACAUGAAAUUUGAAAGGCUUACAUUGAAAGCAGUUCAAUUCCUGUAGGGUUGGGGGGAAAAGGAAUUUGUGUUCCGAAAUGAGUAUGGUUGGCAUCCGACAUGAUGAGCAAUCCCCGGAGAUUACUGCUUCAUGUGCUUGAGUAAGGAAGCUUCUGAAUAGUCCAAAUCUACCACUACGGUAGAUUUUUUUAUGCCGUAGGUAAAGUGGUGGCAAAUUCAAAUGGAUGUGCACAAUGUGGUGGUUUUUUGUAGUUCACUCGAGCGCAUCCGACUGUCUCCUCUCACACAUGCCAUGGCACUCUAGAAACAUCAAUCGGACAUGUACAAAUGCAACGACCAGGAAUGCAUGCACACAUCCAAUUUAGAUUACGUAAAGUUAUGCAGAAGUUAUCCUAAUAAAAAAUAAAACUAUGCAAUGUGUUUAAGACGUGUGUCCAAACUAUAAUCUGUUUUCACCGUUGUGUGGACAACACGAUCUUCAAAGCUAGAUCCAAAUGUACACGUUGCAAUCAAUGUUUUCACGAAGCAACUUAUUGUGAUUAAAAGCAAGUUUGUACUAUGAAUCCGUUUUUCUCUCACAAACCCGGUAUGUAUAACCGAUUGGUUCAUGUUUGUUAUAAAUCGUAUGUGCACGAAGCAAAUUUCAAGUGUACGAAUCAUAUGUACAAUUUUCAAAAAUGCUUUUACAAAAUUGUAAGAGUUUGCACCGGCACUUUCGAAAAGAAAACUAGUGUGACAAAGAGCAACUUGUAAUAAAGAUUGUGGUGCAAUCAAUCCCAGUGUACACAAUGGCAUGUUUUGGUUUACCAAACACUAUAUGAUCAAGUAAGGUUCAUCGGAAACAGGUGGUGGCGGAUAUGAUGAAUUGCACCCCUAAUUGAUUUUGAUGAUUUAUGACAACUAUUUGAGAGGACCAAUGGCAAAAAAAUAUUGAGACUAAUCAUUUCAAUGAGUUUAUUGAAGGUACCACAACUAAUUCUCGUAUACNNNNNNNNNNNNNNNNNNNNNNNNNNNNNNNNNNNNNNNNNNNNNNNNNNNNNNNNNNNNNNNNNNNNNNNNNNNNNNNNNNNNNNNNNNNNNNNNNNNNNNNNNNNNNNNNNNNNNNNNNNNNNNNNNNNNNNNNNNNNNNNNNNNNNNNNNNNNNNNNNNNNNNNNNNNNNNNNNNNNNNNNNNNNNNNNNNNNNNNNNNNNNNNNNNNNNNNNNNNNNNNNNNNNNNNNNNNNNNNNNNCCCCCUCACAGACAAUUUUUCAAGUUAUCUACAUGAAGCUCGGCUCGCUUUUAGUGAAUAUCCACUCUCUUUUUUCAACUUACCCACUGUAAAGAAAUAUAAGAUCAUUUAGAUCACUAAAGUAGUUAUCUAAACGAUCUUAUAUUUCUUUUCUCUUUUUGAUGGUAAUACGCCAUCAUGGCAUUUUAUAUUUCAUGCUCAAAUAUGGAUUAACGUUUGCCAAAACAUUGACAAGAAAAUUUGGAGGCUCCGAUAGCCAAACAAUGGAUCGAUCACACUCCACCUUGCUAGCCAAAACGUCUGCCCCCAUAUUGGCCUUUCUAGGACAACAGGGGCGGAUCCACAUAGGGUCUUGGGUGUACGGAUGUACACCCAAAAUUUUCUACAAAUUUUUUCGUAUAUAGAGUAUAGAGUGGACACAUAUAUCACUUGUGUUAUUUUUGGAGCUGCAUAAGUAGUAUUUCCUCAUCCAAAUCGAGCACAAGCGUUGCUGGCAGUCGGGAUGGUACAAGAACCCAGCGCAGUUGGGGGCAUGGAUAAGCCGGACAGGAUGCAUGGCGUCCAAACGCAGUAAAAAGAACUGUUAGGAGAAAAAAAUGCUUCUCUGCUAGGACAAAAAAAUUUGAACACCUGAAGUUGAAUUCCUGGAUCCGCCACUGUAGGACAAUGAUUAAUAGUAAUAGAAGAAAAAUUUCGACUAAGGAAAGAACAUUCUUCAUAGAUGGCAGCUGCCUGUCCUAGCGAGUUACACCCAUUGAGCAUUACAUAGAUCACCUCCAUACAAUCAGCUUCAAGAAUCACGUUAUGGCGGCCAAUGGUUUUUUUUUUUUUGAAAAGGGGGGACUCUCCGGCCUCUGCAUCAGAACGAUGCAUGCGGCCACUUAAAUAAAUAAAAUAGGUUCAACAAUGUCAUAGAGUCUUGGAACAAAAUAAAGGCGAGCUCACAUAGAGCCUCGACGCUAAAACAAGAAAAAGUCGUAAAGCCACAACCGGCUGGCAAAAUAAAGAUAGGAAAACUAAUUGCCUAUCCUAUUACAUGACCGCCAUCCAAAGCGGUUGAAGAUAUCCCGCGCUACCAUCUCCCACCAGACAGAUCCAGUAACCAAAUGCUCCCUGGCCUCCGUCGGAGUGAGUAAGGACCACAUACGGAUCAGCGUCGUAGCAUGGAAUACAACCAGUAGUGACCUCGACGUCACGAAGCUUGGCCGCCCUCAUGGCGCACCGCUGCUGAAUGUCGUCCACGUCCGACUGUGCCUGGAGACGGCCACUCACCCGGCGCCCCUCCGACAUCGGAUCCUGAAUCCCUCCAAACGCAAUGACCUCCUCCCGAGAGAUCGCGGUCGGGGUUCGGCCUCCUACCUCACCCCAACCAGCAGGUCGAUCCAUCUGCACGGGAUCACCCACAGCCUCGCCGGAGAGUGGACCGGCACUCACCAAGAUCUCAGACUCCUGGCGCGCCCCGCAGGACGGGGCCGGCAGGAAGGGUGGUGGAGGCAGUACAAGGGCCGCCUGCCCUCGCACCCCACCAAGCACCGGAGAAGCCACCCCCACAGGCGCCGUAUGAGGAGAAGGCUCCGAGGCCACCUGCCCCGAGCCCUCUCCCGAAGGCGCCACGAACCGAAUGGUAGACGCGACGGGAGAGGAGGUAUCCGAGGCCUCCUGCCCCAGACCCCCUCCCAACGAAGAAAAGGACACGGGAGCCACCUGCCCGAGUCCCCUUCCUCAACAGAAGGGGAGCAACCCGAGGCCGCCUGCCCCAGGGCUCCACCCGACGAGCCGGGCACGACAAGUUGCGUCACCUCCUGAGAAGAUACCGUGUGCUGAGCGCGAGGGGGAGUGGCCACCUGCCGACUCACCUCCUCAUCCCUCCAGAUCGAGAUUGAAGAACCCCCAAGAUCCCCAGGAAUGGUAUCCACAGCACCCUCAAACCCCAAAACAGGCAACUCGAGCUCAAAAGCCUCCUUAGACUCGACCCUAUCACUCCACAGUCUCGGAGGUGCAGAAGAGGGCUCGAAAGACCCAAAUCUCAGAGUCGUCGAAGGCACCGAGGAGGGUGGGGCUGCUCCAUCCCCGGUCGUCGCGGUCUCGGACCCCGGCCCCUUGGACAACUGUCGUCCAGAGUCCCCGACCGGCGGCUCCUGCGCUCCCGCGCUGCCAUCACCCUCGUGCAUAUCCACGUCAGACUCAUGAGCCGGCGCAACUAGAAGGCUCUCAUCCUCAAACUCAAUAACCAGAUUAUAAAUCCUGCCUCGAUAAGCCCACUUAACCACUUCCGGCACAUACUCAAUGUUCAAAAUACUAACCAGAACCCGAGCAAUCUCGUGAAUAUGGCGGCCAAUGGUACCUGCCAAAAUCAGGCCAUCCUUGAGAGCUCGAGCCUCCGCAUUAGCCGCAUCUGCUACCCACUGCAGGUCGUUGCUCGACGCGGCGAUGAAGAAGCCAGUGACAUCUCGGAUUACUACCCCAGUCCCACCAGUACCACCAUCGUCGUCAAACGCAGCAUCGACAUUUAACUUGACAUAACCUUCCUUCGGUUUCAUCCAUCCAUACCUCAUGAUCCGUUGGCUACCUUUACUGGAUCUAAACGGUCUUAUAUUUCUUUACAAAGGGAGUAUAGUAUGAAUCUUUCUAAGCUCUGGUACUUCCGAAGACUUAUCUUUUGGUGCUUUCUGAGCACUUUGAGUCAUUCGUACUUAGAGAACAAUUCCUGAUUCUACAGUUCGAAAUUACCAUUUUCUUUGUUCCAGAACUGCUAAGCCUUUGAAACAUCAUGUGUUUGGAUCCCACACUUCCAUGUCGUCUCGGUUUGCUUCUUUGUGAGUCACAAUAUAGAGUCUGGUACCUUCGCUCUUUUUCAUGCAGAACUUCAAAGAUGUGACUUCCCUUUUUCUGCAAUUUCUCGUUUUGAGAUUUUGUAUGCACUACCGAGUAAUUGGUUCUAUCUAGUACUUUCAAAUUGUUUGCGGAGGAGAGUAGUGAUUUGGACGGUGCAAUCUCUCGCUCGCCUAAGUUCAUUGGGAGUCAAGUGUUGGCCAUGGAGCGUGGAGUUUCAAAUGUUGUUGCCCUUUCCUCAUCUGCGACCAUUGAGCAGGUGAUGUGUGUGAGUGGCAUGGCCAUUGUGCCAAGUGUGUUGGCACCUACUCCAAAUCCAGAUGCUCUCUUCGUGAAGGAACUUUGUGACUUGCUCGCUAGCGUGGAGGUUGCUAGACCUGAUUUGGGCAAGUCGAUUGCUUGCCUCCUGACGGGGACGCCAAUAAGGGGCAAACAAAAGAAGGUGGGCAAAUGCAAGAGUGGUGUCAUAGGCAAGGCGUCUGUGGCUGCUUGAUGGAUGAUCUUUGGUCUCUCAGCAUGUCCUCUUGGAUUGGGAGGUACAUGAUGUCCUGUGUCGAGGCGUUCUUGUCGGGAUUCACUUGGCAUAGUAGCAGUGUCGGGGUUGUGGAUGUUGUGCAUUCAGAAAGUUUGGCAAGGGCCGAGUGUGCAGUUGUGGGGUUUCUUGCCAUGUGAGUAGUUAGUCCGUGCUCCGUUUGUGUAGGUUUUCGCCCAGUUUUUUUUAAAUUAACUAGGCAAUUCUCUUCUUCUUAAUUAAUCGAUGAGGCAAAACUUUUUGCCUCCGUUUCAAAUAAAGAAAUUGUGUUCUAUGUUCGGAAAAAAGGUGUUGCAUUUUUCAUUCGGAGCCAUCGCUCAACUUUUCACCUUUCAAGUACUAUAUUUUCUCUGAUUUUGAAUGGUGCCUUGGACUUUCAAAUUUAUUUGAACUGUUUCAAUAGUUCCUCAAGUUUUCUCCCGGCACGUCCUAGCCCAAUUACUUUUUGCAGUAACGGUCAGAUUUUGGACUCUAUACAUAUGCUCUCAUACCCAUUUGUGGUGUAACGCAUCAUAACCAACCGACUCUAUUCCACCACAAGUCAUUCCACUCACCCACUCAACAACCCCUUGCAAGCCGCCCCACACCACUCCAUCUCACUACACUAGUAUACACUACACUCUUGAAUUCCCUACAACUCUAAAAGUAUAUCAGGUUGCCGCUUAAUUAAUGAAAAAGCAGGUAGUAAACGUUUAGGAUCUGUGACUGCUUCACUAUGAUGUGUUAAACUUCUCACGUAGCUGUUGUGACGUACAGUAUUUCAGAGUGCAAUGGGUGAAUACAUGAAGCAGGCUCCAGCUUUUGCUCCUUGUGAUCCAAUGCAUGACGUUCGGACGAUAUGUUACACCACCCCCCGACAAACCCACCGAAUCUGUUAGCCCAUGGGAGAAGAUCUAGAUGGUGCUUACAUCAACUUUGCUCUUGGAAAUUUGGAAGGCAGGGGUGAUCCAGCUGCCACAGUUGCACUGGAUCCCUGACCAGUUGAAGUACCCUAGGCGCGCCCCGCAGUGGAUGCACGACAGCUUCCCCUCCAAAGCACCAUCUUCUACUGCUUCAUCAUGAGCAACAUCAGAUAAUGAACAGACUGGUGAUAUGCUAUGGAUCAAUAUACAUAUAUGUGAACGCACUAUGUUCCUGCAAGAGAUGACUUUACCUGGAGUCAUCCACUUUAGAGGCUCAACAUACAGAGAAGAGCAAUCUUGUUCCUUGUUGUGUGUGUGGCCUUUCCUCUUGUCGUGCCACUCAAAGCUCGAGUUGCCUUCACCAGGAGUGUGGCCGAUAACAUUGUCCUGUGCAGCAACGAUCCUCCUGCAUUUCUUGCAGCGGUAUGCUGUUUUAAGGGUCUUCUCCUUGCCUGAUGAUUCCUGGGUAGGAUUAGGCUGUCGAGCAACUCCAGGAUCGUCUUCAAAUACAUGGUUCCCUAUUUUCUCUCCAACUUUGUAGGACUGACCUGCGACAAGUAAUAGGCAAACACUUAAUCAGUGUGCUGCUAAGAUUGAGAAAUAUCACUGCUUGAUAUGAUCAUUUUCUACAGAAUCUAUGACAAAGUUGUUUUAUUUUCAGCAAGAGCAGCACCCUGCAACCACAAGAAUUAUAAGGAGCACAAAGGCAAGCAUAUGAUAUGAGAUGGGGAACCUGACAAAAGGAUAGAUCUCUCUGCCUCCAUUUUUCAAAAUAAAUGUUGGAAAAUGACCAACCUAACAAUUUUAAGCGGAAGCGCCGGUAUAAAGGACUUGAAGUAUCAACCUUGAAACCCAUUUCUUCAAACAAUUUUAACUGCAAGGUAUAGGAAAUUCGACUUAAUAGAAGAAAUCUAGUGAGAUAUAGUGCGACCAAUUCAUAAUGAUAGCUUGCCUGGUCGAGGAAACCAUCGUUUGGGCAAACAGACUCAUUAAUUUCCUUCAAGGACUCUAGUGCUUCUGGAAAAAGAAUAAAGUAGUGAAUGCCACAUGGAUUAUAAAAGGUUGGAUCAGAUAAUUCAGCAACGUACAAACUAAAGAUUAGUGUAUUAAAAAAUUUGAUCCAAAAAAAAAAUUCAUACCUUCAAGAGACUUCUGCUCUGUUCUCAUUAGAUAUGCUGUGGUGAUGGUAGCACUGCAGCAUGAUAUAAAUUCCAAAUAGAUGUUAUAUAGUGAACGUGAAUGGCAUCAUUAUAAGUGAAAAAUACACAUUCCCCAUUUCUGGCACAUCAAAUAGGAAGUUACAUGUGGAAAUUGCAAUGCAUCCUAUAAUAAUUGGUUACCAAGAGCCAUGAGUUGUCAGCUUUCUUACUUGCUAAACAUUCUUAAGCUCAAAAACAUAAAAUCCCAUGUGACUAAGAAUAUCUUUUAUACUAGAACUCACUAAACUUAUCAUUAACUUAGUAUAGCAGGAUUACAAAUAAUAAAGAACACCGAUAAAAAUAUGGAAUUGCAUUAAGCCAUAUGCACCAGUUAAAACAAGAUUUGGCCCCCUUCACAAGAAGAUUAAAGUUUCAACUACAAGAAACUUCUGCUUAGCUUGUCGAAUUCCAUUACAAUUGGACAUAUGUUAGACCGGUGUGACCCUGAGAAGAGGUGGCGCUUCAUGGGUUUAUCAGCUCUGCAAGUCAGUUUCAACAGCACCUUGCUUGCCUGACAAUUCUAUGCUAGCCGCAAUCCAUCACAAGUUGAUCGAGAGACAUGCUGCAGCCAUCUUGCUCCGGCGAGUUAAAAAAAAUAUCCUCUUGCAAAUCAUACCCAUGGCUCCCCAUCGCUAGGGGCAACACUGAUAAGCUCAUCAUAGCCAAAGUAUAUGGCAAACUGAAGCAACGCCACAGUCACCAACCACAUUUCGAAACUCCUCCAUCCGCCACCACUCACAACCUAACUCUCAAAUGCUUUAGCUGUCAGCGUGUCGUACCGGACUGUGUUCAAACCUCCCACACAUAGCCAGGCUAGCACAGAUUGGCACCUAGGUAACUCAACAAAUACCAACUAUCUGCCAUGAACUCCCAACGUGGUUCACCAUAGGAAACGGUGAAGCCUGCUGGCUUCCUCUGGCCACGCACAAACACAUCGAUGUGGGACUUCAAGAAUACUUUGUUUCGUGUCCACCUCUUCUCACCGGAACAACACCAAAACACCACUCCCCUCUUAAACUGAAGAGGCAUGCUGGAGUGUGGAGUCUUAAGGAUGAGACGACCGCUUUCUGCUCUCUUAACUAGUACAGUAGCAUUUUGCUUUCUGAGAGAAAAAAAAAAUGAGAUAUGCAAUGCGGCCUGGAGCUUACAAAAUGCCUCAGACUGCCCACAGCCUCAGCAGGUCAGAUUUAAAAUUUUAUUAUGCCUGACAGGGGUGCUCCAGAUUAGCAGCAUCCACCGGUUUUGCGUUGAUAGGCAUGGUCCCUUUCUUUCUAGCUUAACAUCACUAUCACCAGCCUUCACCUCUUUGUUCUGGUUGGUGUGCGGGGAAAAAACAGUUCAACAGCGGACAGCCAUGCUUAUCUUGCAAAUGUCUACAUCUUUCAGUAGCAUAAAAUGGACCAGUUUAGAUGCAGUAGCAAUGUUUUAACUAUAUGGAUUGAUCUGUAUUGACUAACCUAUUCAAAAUCAAUUUUUAGUCGUGUAUUGUCCCACUGACAAUGUUAUGGUGUUGCUAGAAGGAGGGCACGAGAGGGCCGGCCAAGGGCCUUUCUGCCCACGGCCGAGCAAGAGGGAAGGGAUUUCCUUCUUAAUUCUUGCUUGAUUAGAUUGAUACAUCUCCUUUCUUUAUAUAGAGAGGUUUACUUGACUCCCAAACAAGGCUUACUUGACCCCUAAGCAAGCGACCCUUAUCUCUAAUUAACCCUAAGACUAAUGGGCCCAUUAGGCCCAUUACGUACUCUAACACUACACCCCACCUGGACAUGCAGCUUGUCCUCGAGCUGCAGCCUAACCAACUUAUAACCAUGACUCGACGCAACACAAACCUAACACCUAAAAACAAGCCUUUUACAUCUCGGCUUGUUUUAUUAUUCUCAACCUGAAAUGGACUGAUUUUGGACCCCUUAACAAAAAGUGGACAGCAUCCACACGUCGGACGUGCACGUGUACAGCCACCUGGAUCCCCAUGGACACCACCUGGACAAAAAGAGUGCAUGUGUAUGACCACCUGGAAGUGGUCGCAAGAGUGACCAGCAGAGGCACCCUCGCGGCGUCCGAUGGCGGAAUGCAGUGGUGCUACGCGGUGCGCUGCUAUCGGUGACACCAUGCCUUCUCCCUGCCGGACGGCUGUUGGUUUGCACCGCACAGGGAAGAGUGGAGGGCUUGCGAUGGAGAAUGACGAGAAGGGGUGCGCCCCCAGCAUACCCGUCGCCCAUGGGGGAAACCGCAUGCCCAAGAUCCCCGACGCAGCGGAUGAGAUCGAGAUCCUUUGCUUGCGCAGUGAAGGGCAACUUGGAGGAGCGACGGCUGCAGACCACGCAUCUCCCGCACACACCAACGCGCUAGGAGGCCGCGCGCAGCAGCCUGCAGCCUCACCACCGCCGACACGUGGCGGGUAGCGAUCCAAGACGGAAGCGGUGACGGCGACGGCGGGGACUGGACUUGGUGGAGCGGGACUCCCGCCGGCGCGGUCGAUGCGGGGCCAGAGCUGACCGGCGGUGGCGGCUGCAGCUGCAGCGGCUGCUGCAGCGGAGCGCCGGGCGCGGCGGAGGCCGCGAGGAGCGGCGGCUGCCACUGCAUCUAGGGCUGGGCGGUGGUGGCGAUAGAUGGCAGCUGCAGCGGCUGCUGCAGUGGCUUGGCGAGCGCGGCGAUGGGUGCUGCAGGCGCGUUGGGAGCCGGCGCCGGCCACCUAAAAAGCACGGACACGGGGACGGAAAGACGGGGAUACGCAUACGGGGAUACGGGAUACGGCAUUUUUCAGAAACAGCCAUUCGGGGAUACGGCGAGUAUAUAUAAAAUAAAAUAAAAAUAUGCCAUGUAAUAUAGAGUUAAGACAGAAAAUUAAUGAGAAAGAAAUCAAAAUAGAGAAUCCUGCCCCAUUUGAUGUCUCUUUUUAUCAAGUCCUUGAUUGAUCCUCAUCCCCCCAUGCCAUGCAACCUAACAUCAAGCAGUACAAGGAGCAAGUAUUCAUCAAUCAUCAUUCAAGUUCAACAGCAGCACAAGCAUUCAACUAGCAACUAGCAAACAUGACAUGGGUAGCAACAGGCAACAGCAAGUCAGCAGCAGCGGCAGCAGGCCGGCAGCACAAGCAUUGAAAUAGCAGCAUGAUUACUACAAUCAUUCAAAGAGCAGCAAGCACACCAUCCAUUAGUUCAAUGGAAGGAAUCAGAAUAAAAGAGAUGAAGAAGUUGAGGAGAGGCUGCUGGGUUUGGAGAUUGGGGAGGGUUACCUGCCGUUGGGAGGAGAGGCUGCUGCCUGCUGGUGCUGUGGGGUAGCAGUCGCCGGUCGAGUGCAGGUGUCGCCGCCGGCGGCGGCGUUGAGUCCAGGCGGCGGUGGCUUCGAUCCAGGAGGUGGCGGCUUCGAUCCAGGAGAGGCUGCUACCUGGGAGCACAUCGCUUUUGUGUGGAAGAGAUGCGUGCGACUCAUGUAAAACAUAGGGUUUCGUUUUGGGCCUGUUAUUGGGCCAGGCCGUAUCCCAACCGUGUCACGGACGUAUCCCACCGUAUCCCCUCAUUUUUUUCUUUAUUUUUAAUCGAAAAUCAGGGGAUACUGGGGGACACGCGUAUCCUGCCGUAUCCCGCCGUGUCCCCGUGUACGGCUGUAUCAGAACGGCAGAUCGGCAAUUCCUGCCGUGUCCAUGCUUUCUAGCCGGCCACUGCGGCCACUGCGGGGUGGCGGGCGGCGAGUACCACGGCAGGGCCAGCGGCCCGACGGCGACGGUCGGCGGCAGGGGCGGCGGCGGCCCGUAGGGGCUGGCCAGGUACAGCCGGAUCCCCUGGACGGCUGUGACGAGGUCGUUGAGGACCCCGGUGAUCUCCUCCGGGGUGUAGGCGGCGGCCGGUGGUGCGGUGGAGGGCGCCGGCAUCUGGGCGGUGGCGGCGCCGGAGGAUGCGACCAGCGGCGCGGACGAGGAGGGCAACAGCGCGAUGUAGAUGGCCAGCGGCGCGGUGGUGAUGGUCGGCAGCGGAAGCGACGAGGUGGGCGGCGGCAAAAACAUGAUCGGAACUGAGCUACCUGAUACCAAAUUGUUAUGGUGUUGCUAGAAGGAGGGCACGAGAGGGCCGGCCAAGGCAUUUUUGCCCACGGCCGAGCAAGAGGGAAGGGAUUUCCUUCUUAAUUCUUGCUUGAUUAGAUUGAUACAUCUCCUCUCUUUAUACAAAGAGGUUUACUUGACUCCCAAACAAGGCUUACUUGACCCCUAAGCAAGCGACCCUUAUCUCUAAUUAACCCUAAGACUAAUGGGCCCAUUAGGCCCAUUACGUACUCUAACAGACAAACACUUCUGUACAAACAGUCCACAUGCUUGUUAUACAAGACACAUUUGAGAAAGCAGUAUGAGAUAAUAGGCAUUAACCAAAAUGCCACACUUAACCAUCAGUUUCUUCUGUAAAAAUUUCUAUUAGCCUAGUAGUCCAGCACUCCAGCUAGUUAUACCCGGUAAAGGGGGGUUAGUAUGUUCCCUUGCAAGGACAUAAGGCAUGUUUGGUUGGCUUCCACACUUUGCCAUACUAACUUUGGCCACAAGUGUGGGGACCAGUUUGGCCACCACAAAAACUAUGGCAUGCCACACUUAUGGCACAAAAGUGUGGUAAAGAGUGGAGGGCAACCAAAUAUGCCCUAAUGCUGAUAAAUGUGUGUGUGUGCCGAGUGAGACGUGUAGUUGAAAAAAAAAGCUAUUAACUGUGUAUUUAGCCAAAAAUAAGAUGUGUAUUUUCUAUUCAGCAAAAUACACAGUGUUUAGCUAAGUGUCCAGCUACUAGUUUUAUUUACAGUUAUUGCGAGUGUUCACGACAUGUCCCUCCCAUACACAUGCAUACAUAAACAGGAUUGGAACAUAAUCGCCAUAGCAAGUGGACAUUUUAAUCCACAUUUACCAGAUGUAGCCAGUUGGAGCACCACACAAACAGAAAUUUUACAGAACAAACUGAUAAGUUAGAUGGCAGAUUAUUGAUGAUGAUAGCAACGUAUCAUAAACUUCUCCUUGAUCAGGCAUUUAGACUGAGACAGUAAAAACAAGGGGCUCAUGUAAGAAACAAGAGAUCGAUUGAUUCAGGCUUGAUGUCCCUUGGGAUCACCUUGCCGUCUAUUUAUAUUGCAUAGAUCGAUCAGAGAUCGGUUACAUGAUAGGACACGACCAGAGAUCAUAUACAGACUAGGAAACGGCUUAAGGCCCGUAUACAACAUGGACUCUACGUCCUGUACACAUACCUAUUCUAACACAUACCCUCAAUCAUAACUUGUCUAUAAGUUAAGAUUGCGCUUGAAUACUUCUAACUGUCUAGUAGCAAGUGCUUUGGUGAAGCCAUCCGCUACCUGGUCGCCGGAGGGAAUAAAUCUGAUCUCAAGAAGCUUGUCUGCAACUCUCUCUCUAACAAAGUGAUAAUCAACCUCAAUAUGUUUAGUCCGAGCAUGAAAUAUUGGGUUAGACGAGAGAUAUGUUGCUCCAAGAUUGUCACACCACAGACAUGCGGCCCUAGGCUGAUUGACUCUGAGCUCCUUGAGAAGUGUUUGGAUCCAAAUGAUCUCAGACGUUGCAUUGACUAGGGAUUUGUACUCCACUUCAGUGCUUGACCUUGACACCGUUGCCUGCUUUCGUGCACUCCAAGAAACAAGAUUGUCACCAAAAUAUACAGCAAAACCACCGGUGGAUCUACGAUCAUCAGGACUACCAGCCCACAUCUGAGAAGGCACUGACAAGAGUAGACUUGGAAUUUGUAAUUUUUAGUCCUACUCCAACCGUACCUCUAACAUAUCGCAGAAUUCUCUUAACUGCAGUCCAAUGUACGCUAGUGGGUGAAUGAAGAAACUGACAAACUUUGUUCACAGCAAAAGCAAUAUCUGGUCUUGUCAAGGUCAAGUACUGCAAUGCUCCCACUAUACUUCUAUAUCUGGUUCCAUCAUCAUCACUGAGCCGGUCACCAUCUUCAAUUGAUAAUUUUUCUGAAACUGAGAGUGGUGUAUCCGAUGGCUUGCAGUGUUGCAUUGCAACUCGCUUCAGAAGGUCAUUAGCAUAUUUCUCCUGUGUCAACAAUAUCCCAUUAUCUUUCCUUUUCACCUCAAUGCCAAGAAAAUAAUGGAGAUUUCCCAAAUCUUUAAGAGCAAAAUCACGUUGCAGAUCUUUGAGCAAGGCGCUAACUACAGAAUCGGACGAACUUGCGACUAUGAUGUCAUCCACAUAAAUAAGAAGGUACAUUGUAAUCCCACCUUGAUUUAUGAAGAACAAUGAUGUGUCCGCCCGCGAAGAGGAAAAUCCUAGAGCCAUUAGUUUUGAGCUGAGUCUAGAAAACCAUGCUCGAGGAGCCUGUUUCAGGCCAUAGAGAGCUUUAUCCAAUUUACAUACAUGUUGUCUCCUAGUCGGAUCUUCAUACCCUGGAGGUUGCCUCAUAUACACAGUCUCUUCUAGAACACCAUGGAGAAACGCGUUCUUCACAUCUAGUUGACGAAGGCUCCAAUUGUUGGACACAGCUAAGGCAAGAAUCAACCGAAUUGUUGCUGCUUUCACAACUGGACUAAAUGUGUCUUCUUAAUCAAUCCCAUAUCUUUGUUUGAAUCCUUUUGCAACCAGUCGUGCUUUGUAUCUGUCAAUCUCUCCAUCAGCUUUCCUUUUUAUUUUGUAGACCCACUUGCAAUCUACUCCCUCCGUCCCAAAAUUCUUGUCUUAGAUUUGUCCAAAUACGGAUGUAUCAAGUCACGUUUUAGUAUUAGGUACAUCCGUAUCUAGACAAAUCUAAGACAAGAAUUUUGGGACAGAGGGGGUAUAAUAUUUGCACCCUUCUGAGCAGGAACAAGGUGCCAAGUAUUAUUUUUCAUCAAUGCCGAAUAUUCCUCAUCCAUAGCUUCCUUCCAAUUUUUAUCCUGAAGAGCUUCGGUGAUACUGCUUGGUUCACCUGUCGUGCACACAUUGCACCACCUAACUCGUCCAUCUGUAAUUACCUUGGGUCUGAAAAUAUUGUUGUGUGAAUGUGUAACAGCACCAUCUAGAACAGAGGGCAGUUGUACAGGUUGGACAAUUUCCUGGACAGAAGAAGCCACAGAAGAUCUAACCUCUUCAUCCGAGGAGGACUGAUCAGCGCAUGAUUCUGAGGGCAUACGUGCAGGAGAUGCACCUGCCCCACGAUUCCCAUGCAUGGGCAUGCUCGGUUGGGCAUGGGAUGGGUUGGCCCCAUGCACAAUACGUGGCUGCUGGUGACUGGGCGUGGGCGCCUGGUUUUCCAGCCUGCCUGCAGAGAGAUAGGAUCCCGCAGCUGCAGGUUCUGCAGGCGCGCGCGAUCCCGAUGUUGUAGGUUCAGACGUGCGCGAUCUCGUCGGUGAUCCCCUGCGGUCUACCUCGCUCUCUGUGCCAUGUGCUUACACAUAAAAUCAUUGCCACCGGAGACACUUUGCAUCAAAUUUGGCUGACAUUUUUCCUGUUCCUGAGUAUUGUCAACACAACCAUCAGGUUCAUUAGUAGGAUUAUUCACAUGAGCAUGCAAAUCAUCACCCCCUUGAUCAGUACUCGUAGGGUUUUGAAGGUUAGAAGGUAAAAGAAGAAUCUCGGCUCUAAGACGGGCUCCGGCAUUGGGAUGUAGUUGGGCAAAAGGGAAAACAGAUUCAUCAAAAACGACAUCACGGGAGAUAUAUAUACGGCCAGAGGAAAUAUCAAGACACUUGUAUCCUUUGUGUUUGUUACUAUAGCCUAGGAAAGCACACCGAAUAGAGCGGAAAGCUAAUUUUCGAGUGUUAUAUGGUCGAAGAUUGGGCCAACAUGCACAACCAAAAACACGAAGAGAAGAAUAAUCAGUUUUUUCAUCAAAGAGUCGUUCAAGGGGAGAAAGCAUAUUGAUGACCCGACUAGGAACACGAUUAAUAAGAUAGACAGCGGAAAGAAAUGCUUCAUCCCAGAACUUAAGAGGCAUAGAGGCAUGAGCAAGCAAUGCAAGUCCAACCUCAACAAUAUGACGAUGCUUUCUCUCGGCGGAACCGUUUUGUUGGUGUGCAUGUGGACAUGAAACAUGAUGAGUAAUGCCGAUACGUUGAAAAAAGGAGUUGAGUUUGUGGUACUCACCACCCCAGUCAGUUUGCAUAGCUAUGAUUUUGGUGUUAAAAAGUCGCUCAACUAAAUGUUGAAAAUCAUGAAAGCAUUGAAACACAUCGGACUUGUUCCGUAAGAGAUAUAUCCAAGUAAAUUUACUAUAAUCAUCGAUGAAGCUUACAUAAUACUUAUUUCGACUAACAGACUCGGGUGCUUGACCCCAAACAUCAGAAAAUACUAGCUCUAAAGGAGCACUAGAUAUACUUGAAGACCUAGGAUACGGAAGUUGAUGACUUUUAGCCUUUUGACAAGAAUCACACACGGACUCACUAGUAGACUCAACGGAACAUGGUAAAUUAUACUUCUUAAGGACUUGUUUGACUAUUGGAGAGGCUGGAUGACCAAGUCGAUCAUGCCAUCUUGUUAGAGACGGCCUUGAAGCACCAAAAACUUGAAUACCGGAGGAAGGAGGUGAGCGAGGCGAUUUCAAUGGAUAAAGACCACGCUCACAUGGGCCGUGC